AGAUAACUGUGGCGUCAGCUAUAGAUGAACGUACUUAGAUAAGGACGAAACUUGGCACACAAGUGUAUAAUAACGCGUGACAUUGUGGGGUUGAGUAUAUGAUAUAUGUAAUGUACUCUUGCAAGAGUGUUUGUUUUUUCUUUCGUUUCUUGUUUUUAGCUCGUAUAGACACCUAUAAUACAGAUAAUAAAACGCGCAGUAAAUAUUCGUUCAAACGAUUUGUUUCACGGG